rnacentral:lncRNA from 1 species
CUCUAUUGUAACCCUAGGAUGAACAUUUUAUAACCAAAUCUUGAUUUUAAGAUACAUUACUAGAACACAAAAUUACAAGGCCAAAAGAUGUCUCUUACAAUGUUUGAUCCUGCUGCCCACAAUGUAUGGGAGUGUUCUUUUGGCUUUCAUUUGUUUGUCACAUCGUGAUCACGGAAAAUUGCUUUCAGCGAUGUCUGCCUUCUUUUAAUUACUAAAGAAAACUUUUUUCUUUUUUUGAGACAAGAGUCUCAUGUAGUCCAGGAUGGCUCAGAACACACUGUGUAGCAGAGGAUGUCCUCGAAUGUAGGCUCCUCUUGUUACCACCUCCAGUGAUUACAGGCCUGUGCCACCACACCCAGUUUUAGGCAAUGUCCAAGCUAGAACCGGGGUUUUGUGAAUGUGAAGCAUUCUAUCAACUGAGCUACAGCCCCAGCCAAAAAUAUGUUUUUCCAUAGCGUUACACAUUUGAAUCUCUCUUUGAAUUUGCUCUGUAUUUCCUUUCAGAGGUGGCUCAUGCUUGAGGAUGCUUACAUAGAAACUGCAGGGUAGAGAAGAAAUGGGACCAUACUUCAUUAUGGCUCUUCAUCUCCAAGGGAGGUAGGGCUGGAGAGGAGAUGGCUGGAAGCUUGUCUUUCACUGAGGCUGGCUGCUCUCUUUCCUGGUGUUCUCCAGGCUUCUAUGUGCCUCUCUGACCAAUGUCUGGGAUAGGCCCUGUGGCUCCAGGCCAGGUCCUUCACUGGUCUUCUGCCUGCCUCUGUGUUUCCAGGCUGCCCUUCCUCACCUCUGAGGCUCCAUGUUGGAUGAAGAUAGCAGAGCCAUGAACCCAGUGCUGGAGGGACACACUGUGGCCAGUGAAGUGAGGAGGGGAAGAAAGCAAUGUCUCGGGACAGAGCAAUCUUUGUUGCAGUGUAUGAGGCGACUCGGCCUCCCCACCCCCCUCUGCUGUAGUCCCUUUACACAUCUUACCCCUCAUCUCAGGCUGCAGUAAGACUGGGUUACGUGAUCUAUUCUCCCCUAUGACUUUCAGUUUCUCAUAAAUGGAGAAUAGGCUAGAACUCCUCCUCCUUUUCCUGCCAAGCAGAACAAACAGCUUCCUAUAGCCCCUGAACCCAUCUUCUGUUAGGGAGACUGGGCCAAAACUGAACCACAAUCAGAGCCCAAGCCCAAGCUUGAGAAUGAAUCAGGAGCUAGAGGCAGCAGAAGGGACUCAAAUCAUAUAACCCAUCUCCCCUGAUGGCUGGAGGAGACAAUUUCUUGCCUGCACAGCACUGAGCUGAGUCUCACUAUCCUGGAAAGCAAAGGCAGAAAAUAAAUGGCAGUGGUUGCUAGGACCCAAUCAGGAGCUGGAGCCUUAUUUUGGGUGGAGGGGAAACCUUGGGUCACCCUUGUAUAAUGAGAAGUCAGCAUAGGACUAGCCUCCCACUAGCUCUUAAUCUUUCCCUCCACCCCAAUCCCCUAGAGCUGGGUGUGUAGUCAGGGGGUGGAGGAGGGACAACAAUUUGUAUGAAGAGCUGUUUUGUUUCCACCCACAGGAAGAGCCCAGGCUCUGAGUCAGCGCAGGUGGACUUCUGAUGCCCUCCUGCCUACUCAUCUAUGGGAUUCCCCAUUUCACGGGUAGAGAAAUGGACAGGUUUAAGGAUCCCAUAGAGGUAAGUACCCCUAAAUCCAAAAUCUGGACCAAUCUAAAAACAAAUACAGAGAAAGGCAAGCACACGGAUGACUACUUAGAUUAGAGUUCUGGUGUCGUCUUUCCCAUGAGCACACUGACUUUUGGACCUCAUGUGAUAGUUGGAGAGGGGGGAGAUAAGAAAGGCAGGCUACAAGGAAGUCUUGAUAAACAGGUAGACAGACUUUCCUUCCAUUUCUUCCCAUUGCCACACAGAGAUCAACUAACCUUGGAGAGGUGGAGCCACCUAUUCCCCAAUUUAGUCAGGGCCUUUAACCUGAAUCUUUUGCUGGGCCAGUGUGGGUAAGGGCUCCCCAGAGCAGAGUUUCCCUUCCCUAAAGCCAUCCAUCACCCCUGCUGUCCAGCCCUUCCCAACCCCCAGUUCUGUCACCUUCCAGAUGAUAGGCAAAGAAGCUGCUCCUCUUCCUCCUCGAAGCCAGGGGCAGAGGGCAACAGUUCUUCAACUGGCAGCUUUAGCUGGGUCAGGACAUAAAGCUUGCCACUGAAGAACUACUGCGGCUCAGCCAGGUGAGGGUGUGGGAGGCACAGGUUCCUAAACGGAGGGGAGGAAAAACAGGAAAACUCGGAAUAGGGCUUGGUGACAGCGACAGUGACCCACUAGUUCUAGCUAACUUUCAAUACCUUCAUCUCUUGAGUGAGAAGCAAGAGACUUCUAAAUGCAUUUGUCUUGCCCUGCUUUACAGACCAAGAGGCACUAGCAACACUUGACAACCGGUUGAGAACUCCAGCAUCUUCAGGAUUCAAAGGGCAGGGUCUAGAACCCAGGCCCCAAGUGAAAAAUUGUACUUAAGGUCCAGAGUUGUGAGGUCUGUAAUCAACUCAACUGACUUGUUCCUAGUGAAUUCAGCUGGAAGGAGGAUUAGAAUGGGGAGGAGGACUAGAGUUUGGAAAGUCAGCAGGGGCUCUGAGGAGUAUGAGGGAGAGGACAGCUGACCAUAGGCAGGAGGGGAGGGAUGUACGGGCAGGGUGGCUGGGCAGCUUCCUCAGGACUCUGAGAUGCCAGGCAUUCCGCUUGCACAUUCCGGGUACAUCUGGUAUGAAUUCCAAGCUGUCUGCCGGCCCCUCCACGUCUGAACUUUGUUCCAAGUUCCAAGCCCCGCCCCCAUAGUUCCAACGCAUGAAUCAGCAGGAAAAGCCGGGGCCCUGCAGCAUGGCCCAGGGAGGGGGCUGGGGGCGUGGCAGGCUAGAGGGCUGUGAGUUGGAGAGGGUGGUUCUGCACAGUCAGUCCAAGGGCAUGGCCAUUGCCAGAUUGAGGGACCAAGGAGAUUUUGCCUUGGGAUUUCUAUACUCAGGGGGUGGAAUGAUUACAGUGGGGUGGGCGAUUUUCAAAUUCCAAAAGCCUCUUGGGAAGCAUAAACUUUGUGGUAUCUUUCUUCUCCUAGGUGAUGAGUCUCUGUCCACUCCUCUCUGCCUAAGUUGACUCUGUUCAGCUACAGGGUUCAUUGGCUGCUGAGAGUUUGUGCCAAGCAGGUGCCCUUGGCUGCCGGGCGGGGUGGGCCCAGGGCACUGACCCUCUGACCAGCUGCUCCAUCAACCCUCUGGCACCAUGACAGCUCCUAGCUUACUGACAGCCAGGAUGACAGGCCAAAUGAGUUGGAGGCUGAAACUAGGGCCAGAGGGAGGUGGGGACGUUAGCCUAGCCGGAGGCCCGUGGGGAGGGGCCAAGAGUUGGCCAGGAGGUGGGGAGAGCGGGAGCCCAGCGAUGACUAACCCAGGCGCCCCACCCAGCCAGCCGGCUUCCCAGGCGGUCAUGGCCAGGCCCUCCUCCUGUCCGCCCCCCCAACCUCCGCCCAACCGCGGUGAAACCCUAACCUUUGGGUUGCAUAAGGCCUUCGCACCGCCGCCCCCUACUCCUUUCCCCUCCCCCCUUACAUAACAUUCCCGGGAGGAAACGAGAGGAGGGGCCGGCCCGCCCAGCGACCCCUUCCCUGCCAGGGACUUGAACUAGCCCUGACCCAGUCAGCGCCAGUAGAGGCAGUGCACCUUCACACCACUCGCUCUCCCAGAUUCUCCCCAGGCUAAAUGGUCAGUUCCCGGAUCCUCAAACCAGAGGGCAUCAGGGUUAGACGCCCCCAGCCCUCGGCCUCUCAUCUUCUUCCCCAAUUACCUCUCCAGACCUUCUGCCACGAUUCCUGUCUGGGACUUUCUCUUUAAAUGUCCAGACACACUACUCAGGCCAGUCCAGGACCCUCUCUCGGGAGCCUCUCCGUGCCCGCCGCCCCCUCUCCCCUCCCCCAGAAGGGCAGGGUGUGGUCGCUAGGACCCUACUUUCUCCCAUCACCUUGUUACCGCGAUUUCCCCAGGAAUGACCGGGUCCCCAGAUCACACCCACCUGAUGCUGGGUGUGGGGGUUGCUGAGGACAGGGGAGCAAAAUCACUGCGUCCUCUCCGCACGGCCGACCGCUCUGUCUCUUCCCAGCGCCCAGCACAC